rnacentral:rRNA from 1 species
AUUGAACGCUGGCGGCAGGCCUAACACAUGCAAGUCGAGCGAGCGGCGGACGGGUGAGUAAUGUCUGGGAAACCGCCGGUUGGAGGGGGAUAACUACUGGAAACGGUAGCUAAUACCGCAUUCAAUUCGCUGUGCCCAGGUGGGAUUGGCUAGUUGGUGGGGUAAUGGCCUACCUAGGCGACGAACCCUAGCUGGGCUGAAAGGGUGACCGGCCACCAUGGAACUGAGACACGGUCCAGACUCCUACGGGAGGCAGCAGUGGGGAAUAUGGCGCAAUGGGCGCAAGCCUGAUGCAGCCAUGCCGCGUGUGUGAAGAAGGCCUUCGGGUUGUAAAGCACUUUCGGCGGGGAAGCGUUACCCGCAGAGGAAGCACCGGCUAACUCCGUGCCAGCAGCCGCGGUAAUUC